rnacentral:rRNA from 1 species
UGGGGAAUUUUGGACAAUGGGCGAAAGCCUGAUCCAGCAAUGCCGCGUGUGUGAAGAAGGCCUUCGGGUUGUAAAGCACUUUUGUCCGGAAAGAAAUCCUUGGCUCUAAUACAGUCGGGGGAUGACGGUACCGGAAGAAUAAGCACCGGCUAACUACGUGCCAGCAGCCGCGGUAAUACGUAGGGUGCAAGCGUUAAUCGGAAUUACUGGGCGUAAAGCGUGCGCAGGCGGUUUGCUAAGACCGAUGUGAAAUCCCCGGGCUCAACCUGGGAACUGCAUUGGUGACUGGCAGGCUAGAGUAUGGCAGAGGGGGGUAGAAUUCCACGUGUAGCAGUGAAAUGCGUAGAGAUGUGGAGGAAUACCGAUGGCGAAGGCAGCCCCCUGGGCCAAUACUGACGCUCAUGCACGAAAGCGUGGGGAGCAAACAGGAUUAGAUACCCUGGUAGUCCACGCCCUAAACGAUGUCAACUGUUGUUGGGGAUUCAUUCCUUAGUAACGUAGCUAACGCGUGAAGUUGACCGCCUGGGGAGUACGGUCGCAAGAUUAAAACUCAAUGAAUUGACGGGGUCAUAGCUGUUUCCU